UACGGGGGGAGCAAGCGUUGUCCGGAUUUACUGGGCGUAAAGAGCGCGCAGGCGGUCGUACAAGUCGCGUGUGAAAGCCCCCGGCUCAACUGGGGAGGGUCACGCGAUACUGUUCGACUCGAAGGCAGGAGAGGGAAGCGGAAUUCCCGGUGUAGUGGUGAAAUGCGUAGAUAUCGGGAGGAACACCAGUGGCGAAGGCGGCUUCCUGGCCUGUUCUUGACGCUGAGGCGCGAAAGCUAGGGUAGCAAACGGG
rnacentral:rRNA from 1 species